rnacentral:lncRNA from 10 species
AAAAACCAGAGCUUGUGCGAUACUGGGAGCGACUCACAGAGAGCCUGGGGGUGGGGGGAGCUGGAAUUCUUGUGCAAUGCUUUAUACUCUGAGACGGGAACUCAUAAGAGGUCUUUGGGCUCUGGCAGAACCUAAAGGAACAAUUACGCCAUAAUUGAACAUUGAUAAUUGAACAUUGUUUAUGAUGUUCAAUGUUCACUGAUAAUUGAGCAUUGCUUAUUGCUUUUCUGUGCAAGGAGUUCACAGCCCUUUACAGAAGGGACCUCCACCAGCCUCACCACACCUCUGUGCUCUCCACCAGCCAGACUGCGCUAUCAGCCCACAUUCCAACUCCAGAGCCACUGCACAGAAUAAACCAAGGCUGGAUUCCUGGAGACAAUGUGGACUGAAUGCCACGUAUAAGCCAGAGAGUUCUGUGCUCUGAAGGAAGAUGACACUCAGCUUUCGGGUAACCCCAGAUCUCAGGAAUCAAGUCUCCAGUGAAGCACAGGUACCCUUUGCUCCCAAGAGCUCCUGGCUGCAGUUUGAGGCUUGCUUUGGAGAUUAAUGGUCUCCUCACUCGGCACUCUCCGCCUCAUUUAGUAAUCAGUGUAUCCUGUGAAAACACAAACAAGUGAAGCUCCUGCUCUUAAGAGGUCAACCCAGGGAAGGGGAGAUGAGGUCAGACUGCUCUCAGGCAGGGAAGUCAGGAGGACUUUUGCUCAGUCUUGGCACAGACGCUUCACAUCCAGAACAGAACAGAGGGCCUCCAUCAGGCAACCGUGAACUCUGACCCACCUGCCCUCAGCAAAUGUGCCCGGUGUGACAAAGUAACUAUGUCAUAAGGUUUGAGAAACAAAUGUGUUCUGUUUAUGCCUCUCCUGGUAAGAGGACAGAUGGAGUGGGAGGAAAGGGGCAGGAGGUGAGCACAGGUGUCUCCAGGUAUACUUACCUGGAGGUUCCACCCUCUGCAGUUUUCUCCCCUCCGUCUCUAUUAUUUAUUUUAUCUCAAAGUCAGCCGGAAGCCAGAGCGUCUGGAGGAUUUCACUUGGCUGCCAUGAGACUGCCCGCGUACCCCCUCGCAGUUGCCCAGGACGUACAAGCACUGAUAGUCACAUGGCCUUUAAAAGGCACCUCCUGCAUCUAGGGGCUUGCUUUUGCCUGGAGCCAAAGCCACUUUGAUGAUAUAAAAACGCCCAGGAGGUCCUGUGGGUCAAGGUCUCAAAUGGGAUGGAAGAAAGAACAAGAAGAGAUGCUGCAGUCCAAACGAGCAGACCAUGAGGUGCACCGCGACCAUCAGCCGCGGGGCUGCAGCAAGCUAUUUAUGGCCACCCCCCAUCCCCACGUAGUCGCUUUAGUACCAGUCACGCUGCACAGGGGCCUUUCAGUCAAUGAGGGACUGCAUAAAUGAAAGUGGUCCCAUAGGAUUCUAAUAUCAUAUUUUCACCUUUUCUAUAUUUAGAUAAACAAGUACUUGCCACUGUGUUCCAGAUGCCUACAGCAUUCAGUAUAGUAACCUGCUGUAAGGUUUGUAGCCUAGAGUGAUAGGUACCAUCUAGCCUGGGUAUAGUAGGCUAUGCCAUCUAGGUUUGUGUAAGUUCACUCUGUGAUGUUCUCACAAUGCAGGAGGAAAGGGGCAGGAGGUGAGCACAGGUGUCUACAGGUGUACUUACCUGGCAAUUCCACCUUCUAUUGUCUGUAGCCUAGAAGCAAUAGUCUAUACCAUCUAGCCUAGGUAUAGUAGGUUAUAUCAUCUACCUCGGUAUAGUGGGCUAUACUGUCUAGGUCUAUGUAAGUAGACUCUAUGAUGUUUGCACAUUGACAAGAUCACCAAACAACACAAUUCUCUGAAUGCAUCCCUGUUGUUAAGCAACGCACAACCGUACUUAACAUGUGCCAUAUAAUCAAAGCGGCCAAAGAGAACCAACCCUAUUUUCACCAUCUGCUGUUGUGAAAUAAAACGGUCACCUGGAAACGUUUACAAUAUGAUGACUAAAUAUGCAUUCUGGGACCCUUUCUACAAAGAAAUGGGACGGGAACCUCCCACUCGGCCCUUGCCCUCCCAGAGGCACAUUGCCCAGGGAUUCCUUUGUCUCCUUGGGGCCUUGCCAAGUCUGAUGUGCCAGUCACCAAUCUAGGCCAAGUUCACACUUAUCUCUCCACUCCUACCGAGGUGAAAGGGCCCUGGUGAAGAAACAGUCAGGCACACAGCUCUGCUCCCAAUCCAAGACACGUGUUCAGCAGAAAGCUCUCUGCUGUACUCUGGUCGCUUGACCCCUGCCCACCCCCAGCACCCUGCCCUGGGAGCUCCAGUGCUUUCUCCAAACCUGACACUUGCCUCCAGCUCCAGUCUGAGCUUCUCCCUCUGCUGACCAUGCCCAUCUUGUCAUGGUUCCUCCCCAGAAGCACAGAAGACUUUCUCAUCUCUCAGGACAGCCAGCCCUCCUCUUAGGCAUUAGAUCCCAAGGGACUUCCCUUCCAUGACCAUUCCUUCUCUGCAUCUGUAUCCCAGCCCUUGCUAGAGCCGUGGCCCUUCUGUUCUCUUCAUUUCAGGCAUGGGCAUGGGGGGAAGGCCCUCUGAGCUGCUUCCCUCCUUCCUUCUCAGACAACCUUUGGCUCAAGUCAUCUCUACCCAUCCCUUUCCUCACACUCUUGCCUUCCUUACCCUCAGGCAAUCCGGCCCACACCUCCUCGCAUUCCUGGAGCUGCAAGCUCUCAAUUGUCAGCAGUAAUCUUUGGCCCCAUCCAGUAAUAAUCUUUUCUCACUUUUCAUUUCACAAUUUGGUAACACCCAUCAGCACCUCCACCCCUCGAAUGUCACCAAUUUUAUUUCUAUGGCAUUGCCCUCAUGGGUUUAUUCCUACCUGGGUAUUUCCCUUCUGCCUCCUUUACUGCUCCUCUUCUAAAAGCAGGAGCAGAAUGAUCCAUCUCCAAGGCUCAUAUUAAUCCUCAGCUUUGUAUUUUUCUCUUCAUUCUCCUGCUCUGAGAUAUCCCAUUGAUCCUCACUGCUGAUAGAACAAAGUUCAUUAUCCCGGCCUUUAAGGCCAUUAUCAUUGCACAUGACCCUGCCAGCCAGCUCUACCUCCCACUUUUCCCUUCUACUCCAGCCAGGCUGCUUGUCUCCAGCCUGGACCACAGAUGUGAAUGUUUUUGUCAACUCCAAGGCUCUACCUGGGCCACGUCCCUUCUACUUCCCUCCUCUCUACUCAAAUCCUACUCCCGUUCCAAAGUCUAGCUAAACUCUCAUCUUUUCCCCACUUGAAUUAUUAAUGCACAGAAAACAGAGAAGGUGUCUCAUACUCUUGCAUAUCCCAUCAGUUUAUGGUAUACAUAUGGAAGCCAAACGUAUAAAAACUCGUUCAGCCAAACAUACACAAACUCAUUUAGUACAUAUCUACUUAAUCUAUGCAUCCUUUUGUCUUGACCAUCACAGCAACAAGCACAAUGUGAUACAAUUCUGUUCAAUUAUUGCUUACUUUGCAAACAUUGGUAAUUAUAGUGUCUAUUGUCAUACAUUAUGGUUUUUAUCUCAUCGAUUUAGGUGUACGAAUUUCAUACUAAAUAGACCCAUUUGUUUCCUGCUACUUGUUGGCAGGGAUUGGGGUAAAGUGUCACAGCUCGUAGCAGUGUUUCACACUUGGCCUGAAGCAAACGACUUACGCUGUGGUUUAUCUGAGAUGACAUUAGGCGG